CCUACGGGUGGCUGCAGUAGGGAAUAUUGCUCAAUGGGGGAAACCCUGAAGCAGCAACGCCGCGUGGAGGAGGAAGGUUUUAGGAGUGUAAACGCCUUUUGGGAGAGAAGAGAAUGACGGUAUCUAACGAAUAAGCACCGGCUAACUCCGUGCCAGCAGCCGCGGUCAUACGGAGGGUGCAAGCGUUACUCGGAAUCACUGGGCGUAAAGAGGGCGCAGGCGGGCUUGGAAGUCAGAUGUGAAGUCCGGUCGCUUAACUACAGAACUGCAUUUGAAACUCUGAGUCUAGAGUGUGGGAGAGGUAGGUGGAAUUCUUGGUGUAGCGGUCAAAUCCGUAGAUAUC
rnacentral:rRNA from 1 species